AAUCCAUGUUGCGGGUACUUCCUCAGGAGCUCCUUGAACCUUUCCCACAUCUCCAUCAGAGACUCCAAUUCCAACUGUAUAAAGGACGAGAUCUCAUUCCUAGGCUU